rnacentral:rRNA from 1 species
AUACGUAGGGUGCGAGCGUUGUCCGGAAUUACUGGGCGUAAAGAGCUCGUAGGUGGUUUGUCGCGUCGUCUGUGAAAUUCCGGGGCUUAACUCCGGGCGUGCAGGCGAUACGGGCAUAACUUGAGUACUGUAGGGGAGACUGGAAUUCCUGGUGUAGCGGUGAAAUGCGCAGAUAUCAGGAGGGACACCGGUGGCGAAGGCGGGUCUAUGGUCGGAAACUGACGUGUAGGAGCGAAAGCAUGGGUGGCGAACGGGAUUAGAUACCCUGAUAGUCCAUGCCGUAAACGGUGGGCGCUAGGUGUAGGGGUCUUCCACGACUUCUGUGCCGUAGCUAACGCAUUAAGCGCCCCGCCUGGGGAGUACGGCCGCAAGGCUAAAACUCAAAGGAAUUGACGGGG